UUCUUUUUGCUGGACUAAAAAGGGUUUUGCCUUUAUAAAUAGAGUUGUUUGUAAUCUUUUAAGGCAGACUUGAUUAAUGAUAAAUUUCCUUACUUUAAACUCUCUGAUUCCUUCCCUUUCCCUUCGUCUCUUCGAUCCCUUAUUUCUUCCCUGCUCUAUUGCUCCAGUGUUUACUCUAAACCUAUGGGCUGUUCUACAUCACAGUCAUAUUCAGAACAAAAAAUCCGAUGAUGAAUAGUAGUGGGGCAUGUUUCUGUAUAUAGUGCAUUCCAUCAAUACUAAAUCAGUAUAGAAAUCUUAAAUUUAUUGGUAAUCCAAGCACCUGCCAAGCUUGGGAUGAAAAUAACAAUUGGAAGUGAUUUACCAACUACAAGAACUGCUACAGUGUCUUCAAUUAUAGGACAAAGGAAUGGCAGCCAACAUCAACACCUGAUGAAGAUGGACUUAUGCAUCAAUUACGAGCUACUCUCAUCCAGGCUAUUGAUGCUUCAGCCUCCAAGCUGCCUCAAGCAAAUCUGCAACAAACCCCUGUAACAGCAGAAUCCAUUUGUCCCUCUUAUGCAGGAGUGUGUGGAUGCCAUCACUGAACUCCAGAGGCUUCAUUCAUUGAUGAAGGGAGAGUUGGUUUCGUGAUUUUUCACUAUGUAUAUCACCUUAUGCGGGCAUCUGAUGUAGUCUUAGGGUUAUGAAUAAUGGGAUUUUGUGAAAUUAGGAUUUGACUAUUUAAGAAAGAUUGAAUAACCUGAAUUAACUACCAGUCUAUUUAUGAGAUCACUUAGGUUA